rnacentral:rRNA from 1 species
UGGGGAAUAUUGGACAAUGGGGGGAACCCUGAUCCAGCCAUGCCGCGUGUGUGAAGAAGGCCUUAUGGUUGUAAAGCACUUUAAGCGAGGAGGAGGGUACUGGUAUUAAUACUACCAGGUACUGGACGUUACUCGCAGAAUAAGCACCGGCUAACUCUGUGCCAGCAGCCGCGGUAAUACAGAGGGUGCGAGCGUUAAUCGGAUUUACUGGGCGUAAAGCGUGCGUAGGCGGCUAAUUGAGUCGGAUGUGAAAUCCCCGAGCUUAACUUGGGAAUUGCAUUCGGUACUGGUUAGCUAGAGUGUGGGAGAGAAUGGUAGAAUUCCAGGUGUAGCGGUGAAAUGCGUAGAGAUCUGGAGGAAUACCGAUGGCGAAGGCAGCCAUCUGGCCUAACACUGACGCUGAGGUACGAAAGCAUGGGGAGCAAACAGG